GCCCGAGUGGCGGAACUGGUAGACGCGCUGGAUUCAAAAUCCAGUGGUAGCAAUACCGUGCCGGUUCGAUUCCGGCCUUGGGUA
rnacentral:tRNA from 1 species